rnacentral:SRP_RNA from 1 species
GCCAGGCAUGGUGGCGCUUGCCUGUAGUCCCAGCUACUCAGGAGGCUGAGAUGGGAGGAUCACUCGAGCCCAGGAGUUCGAGGCUGCAGUGAGCCGAGAUCACGCCACUGAACUCCAGCCUGGGCAACAGAGCGAGACCUUGUCUCAA